AACGUAGGACGCGAGCGUUAUCCGGAGUUACUGGGCGUAAAGCGCGGGCAGGCGGUUGUCUAAGUGAGAUGUGAAAGCGCCCGGCUAAACCGGGCGAGGCCAUUCCAAACUAGAUGACUGGAGGGCAGUAGAGGUAGGUAGAAUUCCGGGUGGAGUGGUGAAAUGCGUAGAGAUCCGGAGGAAUACCAGAGGCGAAGGCGGCCUACUGGGCUGCACCUGACGCUGAGCCGCGAAAGCCAGGGGAGCGAACGGG
rnacentral:rRNA from 1 species